rnacentral:rRNA from 1 species
UGAGUAACACGUAUCCAACCUGCCUCAAAGAGGGGGACAACAGUUGGAAACGACUGCUAAUACCGCAUAAGCCCACGGCUCGGCAUCGAGCAGAGGGAAAAGGAGCAAUCCGCUUUGAGAUGGCCUCGCGUCCGAUUAGCUAGUUGGUGAGGUAACGGCCCACCAAGGCGACGAUCGGUAGCCGGACUGGGAGGUUGAACGGCCACAUUGGGACUGAGACACGGCCCAG